UACGUAGGGGGCAAGCGUUGUCCGGAUUUAUUGGGCGUAAAGGGCGUGUAGGCGGUCAAGUAAGUGGAAUGUGAAACGCCUCGGCUUACCCGAGGACCUGCAUCCCAAACUGCUUGGCUUGAGUAUGGGAGAGGAUGAGGGAAUUCCUGGUGUAGCGGUGAAAUGCGUAGAUAUCAGGAGGAACACCGGUGGCGAAAGCGCUCAUCUGGCCCAAUACUGACGCUGAGGCGCGAAAGCUAGGGGAGCAAACGGG
rnacentral:rRNA from 1 species